rnacentral:rRNA from 1 species
UACGGGGGGGGCAAGCGUUGUUCGGAAUUACUGGGCGUAAAGGGCUGGUAGGCGGCCAACUAAGUCGGAUGUGAAAUCCCCAGGCUUAACCUGGGAACUGCAUCCGAUACUGGUCGGCUUGAAUCCGGGAGAGGGAUGCAGAAUUCCAGGUGUAGCGGUGAAAUGCGUAGAUAUCUGGAGGAACACCGGUGGCGAAGGCGGCAUCCUGGACCGGCAUUGACGCUAAAGCGCGAAAGCCAGGGGAGCAAACGGG